rnacentral:rRNA from 1 species
UAAAAAUAAAAAGGUAAUAUCCUUGGAGAAACCAAUACUCUUUGACGGCCUUUUUUCUUAUUAAAGGAAUUUGUUAUUUAAUCGAAACUACACGUUAAUUUUUUCUUCUUUUUUAAAACUUUUAUACCGUCGUCUUAGGAAUUCACCUCAAAGUGUGUUCUAAAUUUAUCAAAAAAAUAAGUCAGAUCAAGGUGAAGUCUAUAAAGAAGAGCAUAAUGAAUUAUUUAUAAAAAUAAUUUAUAAAUUUCCUAUUUGAAAAAGUUAAAUGAAUUAAGAUUUAAAAGUAUUGUUAAGUCAACAACUUAUAAAGAGUCAGUAAAAAAAGGUGU